rnacentral:rRNA from 1 species
AAACCAACAGGGAUUGCCUUAGUAGCGGCGAGUGAAGCGGCAAAAGCUCAAAUUUGAAAUCUGGCACUUUCAGUGUCCGAGUUGUAAUUUGAAGAAGGUAUCUUUGGGUCUGGCUCUUGUCUAUGUUUCUUGGAACAGAACGUCACAGAGGGUGAGAAUCCCGUGCGAUGAGAUGACCCAGACCUAUGUAAAGUUCCUUCGAAGAGUCGAGUUGUUUGGGAAUGCAGCUCUAAGUGGGUGGUAAAUUCCAUCUAAAGCUAAAUAUUGGCGAGAGACCGAUAGCGAACAAGUACAGUGAUGGAAAGAUGAAAAGAACUUUGAAAAGAGAGUGAAAAAGUACGUGAAAUUGUUGAAAGGGAAGGGCUUGAGAUCAGACUUGGUAUUUUGUAUGUUACUCUCUCGGGGGUGGCCUCUACAGUUUACCGGGCCAGCAUCAGUUUGGGCGGUAGGACAAUUGCAAAGAAAUGUGGCACUGCCUCGGUAGUGUGUUAUAGUCUUUGUCGAUACUGCCAGCCUAGACUGAGGACUGCGGCUUCGGCCUAGGAUGUUGGCAUAAUGAUCUUAAGUCGCCCGUCUUG